rnacentral:rRNA from 1 species
CUGAACCAGCCAAGUAGCGUGAAGGAUGACUGCCCUAUGGGUUGUAAACUUCUUUUAUACGGGAAUAAAGUGAGGCACGUGUGCCUUUUUGUAUGUACCGUAUGAAUAAGGAUCGGCUAACUCCGUGCCAGCAGCCGCGGUAAUACGGAGGAUCCGAGCGCUAUCCGGAUUUAUUGGGUUUAAAGGGAGCGUAGGCGGACGCUUAAGUCAGUUGUGAAAGUUUGCGG